CCUGGCUCAGGAUGAACGCUAGCGGCAGGCUUAAUACAUGCAAGUCGUGGGGCAGCAGGUUUGUAGCAAUACAGAUGCUGGCGACCGGCAAACGGGUGCGGAACACGUACAGAACCUUCCUUUGAGCGGGGAAUAGCCCAGAGAAAUUUGGAUUAAUACCCCAUAGUAUAAUGAAGUGGCAUCACUUUAUUAUUAAAGAUUUAUCACUCGAAGAUGGCUGUGCGGCUGAUUAGGUAGUUGGCGGGGUAAAGGCCCACCAAGCCUGCGAUCAGUAACUGGUGUGAGAGCACGACCAGUCACACGGGCACUGAGACGCGGGCCCGACUCCUACGGGAGGCAGCAGUAAGGAAUAUUGGUCAAUGGAGGCAACUCUGAACCAGCCAUGCCGCGUGGAGGAUGAAGGUCCUCUGGAUUGUAAACUUCUUUUAUAUGGGACGAAAAAAGGCUUUUCUAAGUCGUCUGACGGUACCAUAUGAAUAAGCACCGGCUAACUCCGUG
rnacentral:rRNA from 1 species